rfam:Rattus norvegicus chromosome 1, whole genome shotgun sequence.
GGGGAUUUAGCUCAGUGGUAGAGCGCUUGCCUAGCAAGCGCAAGGCUCUGGGUUCGGUCCCCAGCUCCA